CUCGCCAGGCUUUGUCUUUGUUUGUUUAAAUGCAUCUAUAUCAUUUGUCGAAACGUUCCGUUAGAUCUGGUUCAAAUCACUUUUCAGUUAAAUCCUUUUCGCUCCGCUUUCAAGAGUUCGUCUUUAGUAUUUCUUUAACAUUUAAUUUGGCAAUUUGUUUUCAAUAUAUUUUUUUCUUUUAUAUUGUUUUUAGGUUUGUUCCUUUAUUAUUGCUGUUUCGGGUUUUUGGUUUCUUUUUUCGAUUGAAACAAAUUCGUUUAGCUGAAACGCAUUUUGUCAAUAUUUCAUUUACGUAAUUUUUUCACUUUGUUUAAAGUUAAGUUUUAGGCUAAGAAGAAUUUUUGUUGUAGAGAUUUUUCUUUGACUUUUUUCAAUUUUUCGAAUGGCGUGCAUAGAUAUUUUUAGCUGGUUCUUUGUGUUAGAUUGUGUUUUUCUCUUUUAAAAUGUGUUU